CCUACGGGCGGCAGCAGUGGGGAAUAUUGGGCAAUGGGCGCAAGCCUGACCCAGCAACGCCGCGUGAAGGAAGAAGGCUUUCGGGUUGUAAACUUCUUUUCUGAGGGACGAAGAAAGUGACGGUACCUCAGGAAUAAGCCACGGCUAACUACGUGCCAGCAGCCGCGGUAAUACGUAGGUGGCAAGCGUUAUCCGGAUUUAUUGGGUGUAAAGGGCGUGUAGGCGGGAAAGCAAGUCAGAUGUGAAAAUUCGGGGCUCAACCCUGAGCCUGCAUUUGAAACUGUUUUUCUUGAGUGCUGGAGAGGCAGUCGGAAGUCGGGGUGUAGCGGUGAAAUGCGUAGAUAUAAGGAGGAACACCAGUGGCGAAGGCGGAUUGCUGGACAGUAACUGACGCUGAGGCGCGAAAGCGUGGGGAGCAAACAGGAUUAGAUACCCGGGUAGUC
rnacentral:rRNA from 1 species